UACGAAGGGUGCAAGCGUUGUCCGGAAUUAUUGGGCGUAAAGAGCUCGUAGGCGGUCUGUCACGUCGGCUGUGAAAACCCGAGGCUCAACCUCGGGCCUGCAGUCGAUACGGGCAAACUAGAGUACUGCAGGGGAGACUGGAAUUCCUGGUGUAGCGGUGAAAUGCGCAGAUAUCAGGAGGAACACCGGUGGCGAAGGCGGGUCUCUGGGCAGUAACUGACGCUGAGGAGCGAAAGCGUGGGGAGCGAACAGG
rnacentral:rRNA from 1 species